rnacentral:rRNA from 1 species
AUGUCGCUGCUGCCGCACGUCUACGGACUCCUCCGGCCGCCUUCCGCGGUUGACAUGUACCCUGUCCCUUACGAGGUCCAAGACGGGGUCACCAUGGGCUUGUACCCCAAGGCUGGUGGCGUGGUGGUGCUCGCGCUCUUGGUCUACGUGCAGCAGCGCUGGAACUACAGGAUCCUAGGGUGGGCGGUUGUAGACAAGGAGAAGAAUAAGCUGCAGCAUGUGUACUGA